ensembl:lncRNA
GGCAGACUGACGAAUGAGUUUGGGAUCAGACUGAAGCUGUGACUGUUUGGGAGAUGAUGUCACGGUGCCCUGCAGAAGGUGGCAGUUUAUCACAGACCUGUCGUUUGGCUACACGGUGAAGCUUUUUUAAAAAGUUUGUAAUUCACUUCAAAGCUUCAAGCUGGAGGUUUAAGAGCCGGCUCAGGUAAAACACGAUAUUCUCACCAUCAGAGUGUUUGGACCGAGCUGAGUGACCAAAGUUUUCCAGCUCUAAUCUAAGCAUAAACCAGCACUCAGGAUUACUUUACCAAACACACAAUAACAGAUUUAGAGAUCUCACUGUAUGUUUUCAUCAGUCUGAAGGAGAUGUUGAAGCUGUAAUCCAAGAUGCUGCCGGACAUCAGAAGAAGAAGACGAGUCGUCACAGUGAGUCGGUGCUUGAAUUCCCUGCUGAGGAGCACGGGUGGAAAUAGAAGCACAGGCGGGUGGAUGGUCUGUGUGAAGGUUGAUUAGAGGCUCUUCAGAUGUGGAUGAAUGAAUGAUAGACUUUGGAAAAAUCACACAAUAAGAGAUUUUGGCAGCUAAAGAGCUUUGCUCCUACUUUAGUCUACGAAGGCUCCACGCCCUUGGAUAUUAAGCAACCAAUCAGGUGACUUCAAGUGCAUUCGCCUCAUAGCUCCUCAUAGCCUUCAUCACGUUACUGUUACCAAGGGGUUCUCUUUACAUGAGUUGAUUAUUACAGAGUGUCAGCCUUAUGCUGGCUGGAGCAGCUCUACUGGCAGCUCCUAACAUCAGCUCGCGGGUUCAGGCUUGGUUGUGUUUAGGUGUGGCUGCUGUGUGUGUGGCUUCACUCAACUCGACCUGCCAGCAGUGUUUGUGACUUUUGGAGCAUUUCUUUGUUCUUUGGUCCUUUUACCCAAUACAAGAGGGGCUCAAAGGCACUAGAGAUGCCCACCGUUUGGUUAGCAUGAAUAAAUCAAGGAUGCUAUUUCUUCAUGAUUUCACCAAUAACAAUAACACAGUUUGAUCUCAGUCCAGCACUUAUCACUAACACUAGCACGCUGUUAUAAACAGGCAUCAACUGACAGAAGUUCUUCAUUUGGAGUCCUCUUAUUGAUACUAAUGUUAGUGAUUAUUAUAUUUAAGGACUCAUUAUCAUUCUCCUGCUGUCAAAUGCAAAAACUAGCUGGGAAUGAAAGUCAUGGAACAAGCCAAUCAUAAUAGCUGCAGAGUGCACUGACAUGGUCACAGAUCCAGGAGGGUUACAAAGUUGGUCACAGAGGAGCCUAAAAUAGAAACAUACUGGAAGAAAAAAGGAGAUUUUAUUGCAGAUUUAUAACCUGAUCAAAAGAAAGUGUUUUGGUUUGGACGGACAUGUGUUUGUAAAACUAUCCACACACUGAAUGAAAUGUUUCUUUUACCUCAGUAUGUGGGAGAAGAGUCUAAUUAUGUCACUUUACUGUCACUCCAUAUAUUGCAGACAU